GCGCCCGUAGCUCAGCCGGAUAGAGCAACGGACUUCUAAUCCGUAGGUCGCAGGUUCGAAUCCUGCCGGGCGUACCA
rnacentral:tRNA from 1 species